UACGGAGGGAGCUAGCGUUGUUCGGAAUUACUGGGCGUAAAGCGCACGUAGGCGGAUUGCUAAGUCAGGGGUGAAAUCCUGGAGCUCAACUCCAGAACUGCCUUUGAUACUGGCGAUCUUGAGUCCGGGAGAGGUGAGUGGAACUGCGAGUGUAGAGGUGAAAUUCGUAGAUAUCGGGAGGAACACCUGUGGCGAAGGCGGCCAUCUGGACGUUCACUGACGCUGAGACGCGAAAGCGUGGGUAGCAAACAGG
rnacentral:rRNA from 1 species